UCUUUCUCUUCUCCUUCCCCUUCUGUUUCUCCUUCCCGUUUCUCCUUCCUCUUCUGUUUCUCCUUCCCGUUUCUCCUUCCCCUUCUGUUUCUCCUUCCCCUUAUUUCUCGUCUUUCUCCCCUUAUUUUUUUGGGGUUUUUGGGGUACGAAUUGCGGAAAGGAGGAGGAGAAAUACGAGGCCAGAGGUUAAGUUAAGUUAUUUUUUGUCUUUAAUAUUUCAUUCGGUUAUAGAUUUUGUCAAAUAAUUUUACAGUUUUUUUGGUCAAAAUUGGGAAAAAUCGAACAAAAAAACCCUAAAUUUCGAAUUUGGGAGUUUUCAAUUCGGUCCAUUAUUCUUGAAAUUGUUUGUUCCAUGUUGUUAUGCUAUGUUUAAGGAGUGUUUUGCAACAAAUUUCAUGAAAAAUGGUUAAAUAUUAAACCUUGUAUGAGCAUGUCUUUGUUCGAGUUCGUUCUUUGUAUAAAUGGUUAGGGGGGGGGGGGGGGGGAAGGGGGGAGGAUGAAUUAGUUAACUAUGUGCUAUCUUUGUAUAAACGGUUCUUUGUUUAAUGCUUUAAUUAGGACAAUGCUGCUGAACUCUUUAGACGAGCUUGCAAAAUAUUCAACACUGAGGCAGAUUUGUUGCACAUAUGGGACUUCUCUGGCAGGACGAGCCUUUUUUUUGCGAAUGACAAUAGCUCACCUGCAAAAGAUAUCCAGCGUCAAUUGAAUCAGGAGAUGUCUGAUGACCCCGUAGACCAUCGAGGUGGAAGAUAUGAAUCAAGGGAUGUUUAGCUCGUUUAACCAUUGACUCAGAUUAAGAAACUUGUAAUUAUAUUAAUUGGCUAGAUUUGAAUGGUUUGCUGGUUUGUUGCUGUUUGUAACCUCCAAGUUUGGAGGGGUUUGUAUUUUUUUCACGUAGCGUAUUUAUUUGUGUAUGAGGACACGGUGCGGCUGUACUUUAUGAGGGCUUGCCCUUUUUUCUUUUAGUAAUAAUAUCCCUUUCUUACCUACC